rnacentral:lncRNA from 1 species
GACGAGCUUAAUUAUAUGUGAUGAAAAUAUUUAAGUUUGGGGUUGCAUGGAGGAAAUUGAAAGGCAAUUGAAGAGCAUUGAGCUCAAAUGUUGUGAAAGAAAAAAUUCAUGAGAAAAAGAAAAGAAAAGAAGAAAAGCAUGAAGAUGGGCUCAAUGAAAAAGAAAAGGGAAAUAAUUGGGAAUAAGUGAGAUUGGUGAGGAAGAGAGUUGUGCUUAAAUGUUGAAUACUAUGGUAGCUCUCUUAACUCAAGGAUUUUGCAUUCCAAAAAAACCAAUUCUUCUUGUUAGCCCAGCCUCAUUACAGGCCCUGGAAAAGUCCUUUUGAUGGCAUUUGCAUGUGAAGAUUUUGAUUGUUUAAGAUGAAGGGAAAUUUUGUUUCAUAUGACUUGUGAAUGAUAGAGUGUUGGAGUGUUACCCUAAACACUUGACUGAUUGAGUGAAACACUUGCCUGGUGAGAAUUGCUAAAUUUUUUUAUUAUAUCUUUGCUCAGUGGAUUGGUCAUUCAUAAUGUGAAACACCUAUUGAGUAACUUGUGAACUGAACUGAAUUGGAAGCAUGCAUGCAUCUUGAUUGGAUUU